rnacentral:lncRNA from 1 species
GGAGAUUUGUAAUAGUAAGGUGGUGGAGGGGAAUGUGAGGGGGGUGGGGGGGAUUUGUAAUAAUAAGGAGGUGGAGGUGAUGGGGAUGGAGGAGGUGGUGACUUGUACACAUAUGUUGGAGCCUUGUGCUCAUAAGAUGGUGGUGGAGGUGAUUUAUACUCAUAGGGUGGUGGGGGUGAUGGUGAAGGAGGUGGGGGAGACUUAUAUUCAUAAGAUGGAGACUUGUGCUCAUAGGGUGGAGGUGGUGGAGAUUUGUAAAUGUAAGAUGGUGGAGGUGACGGUGAGGGAGGCGGUGGUGACUUGUAAAUGUAAGGUGGUGGUGGUGAUGGUGAUGGUGGUGGGGGUGACUUGUACUGGUAAGAUGGAGCCUUGUGCUCAUAUGGUGGUGGAGGUGACGGUGAUGGAGGUGGUGGUGACUUGUAAAUGUAAGGUGGUGGAGGUGAUGGUGAUGGAGGUGGGGGUGACUUGUACUGGUAAGAUGGUGCCUUGUGCUCAUAUGGAG